rnacentral:rRNA from 1 species
UGCAAGUCGAGCGGAAGGCCCCUUCGGGGGUACUCGAGCGGCGAACGGGUGAGUAACACGUGAGCAACCUGCCCCUGACUCUGGGAUAAGCCUGGGAAACUGGGUCUAAUACCGGAUAUGACGCAUUCUCGCAUGGGAUGUGUGUGGAAAGUUUUUCGGUUGGGGAUGGGCUCGCGGCCUAUCAGCUUGUUGGUGGGGUGAUGGCCUACCAAGGCGACGACGGGUAACCGGCCUGAGAGGGCGACCGGUCACACUGGGACUGAGACACGGCCCAGACUCCUACGGGAGGCAGCAGUGGGGAAUAUUGCGCAAUGGGCGGAAGCCUGACGCAGCGACCCCGCGUGGGGGAUGACGGCCUUCGGGUUGUAAACCUCUUUCAGCAGGGACGAAGCUAACGUGACGGUACCUGCAAAAGAAGCGCCGGCUAACUACGUGCCACAGCCG